rnacentral:rRNA from 1 species
GUUUGAUCCUGGCUCAGGAUGAACGCUGGCGGUAUGCUUAACACAUGCAAGUCGAACGGACUCUUCGGAGUUAGUGGCGGACGGGUGAGUAACGCGUGAGAACUUGGCUUCAGGUCGGGGACAACAGUUGGAAACGACUGCUAAUACCGGAUGUGCCGAAAGGUGAAAGAUUUAUUGCCUGAAGAUGGGCUCGCGUCUGAUUAGCUAGUUGGUGGGGUAAGAGCCUACCAAGGCGACGAUCAGUAGCUGGUCUGAGAGGAUGACCAGCCACACUGGAACUGAGACACGGUCCAGACUCCUACGGGAGGCAGCAGUGGGGAAUUUUCCGCAAUGGGCGAAAGCCUGACGGAGCAAUACCGCGUGAGGGAGGAAGGCUCUUGGGUUGUAAACCUCUUUUCUCAGGGAAUAAAAAAGAAGGUACCUGAGGAAUAAGCAUCGGCUAACUCCGUGCCAGCAGCCGCGGUAAUACGGAGGAUGCAAGCGUUAUCCGGAAUGAUUGGGCGUAAAGCGUCCGCAGGUGGAAUUUCAAGUCUGCUGUCAAAGAAUUUGGCUUAACCAAAUAAAGGCAGUGGAAACUGAAAAACUAGAGUGCGUUCGGGGUAGAGGGAAUUCCUGGUGUAGCGGUGAAAUGCGUAGAGAUCAGGAAGAACACCGGUGGCGAAAGCGCUCUACUAGGCCGCAACUGACACUGAGGGACGAAAGCUAGGGGAGCGAAUGGGAUUAGAUACCCCAGUAGUCCUAGCCGUAAACGAUGGAUACUAGGCGUUGCUUGUAUCGACCCGAGCAGUGCCGUAGCUAACGCGUUAAAGUAUCCCGCCUGGGGAGUACGCACGCAAGUGUGAAACUCAAAGGAAUUGACGGGGGCCCGCACAAGCGGUGGAGUAUGUGGUUUAAUUCGAUGCAACGCGAAGAACCUUACCAGGGCUUGACAUGUCUGGAACCCGUGGGAAA